CGCGGGGUGGAGCAGUCUGGUAGCUCGUCGGGCUCAUAACCCGAAGGUCGUCGGUUCAAAUCCGGCCCCCGCAACCA
rnacentral:tRNA from 882 species